rnacentral:tRNA from 1 species
UUCCAGUUAGAAAACGAAUAUGUUCGCUGACUCUUAAUCAGUAGGUUCUAGGUUCGAUUCCUAGCGGGGGC